GACGAACGCUGGCGGCGGGCUUAACACAUGCAAGUCGAACGGAAAGGCCCUGCUUUUGUGUGGUUCUCGAGUGGCGAACGGGUGAGUAACACGUGAGUAACCUGCCCUUGACUUUGGGAUAACUUCAGAAAACUGGGGCUAAUACCUGAUAGGAGCUCCUGCUGCAUGGGGGGGGUUGGAACGUUUCGGCGGUUGGGGAUGGACUCGGGGCUUAUCAGCUUGUUGGGGGGGUAGUGGCUUACCAGGGCUUUGACGGGUAGCCGGCCUGAGAGGGUGACCGGCGACAUUGGGACUGAGAUACGGCGCAGACGCGUACGGGAGGCAGCAGUGGGGAAUAUUGCACAAUGGGCGGAAGCCUGAUGCAGCAACGCCGCGUGCGGGAAGACGGCCUUCGGGUUGUAAACCGCUUUCGCCUGUGACGAAGCGUGAGUGACGGUAAUGGGUAAAGAAGCACCGGCUAACUACGUG
rnacentral:rRNA from 1 species